rnacentral:piRNA from 1 species
UACCAACUUGAGAUCUUUUAUACCCCU